GCGGAUGGCUGGAUGACCGCGGGCGCCGGGUAAUAGGGCGCGCGAGGAAAGUCCGGACUCCAUGAAGCAAGGGUGCCGGAUAACGCCCGGCGGGGGUAACCCCAGGGAAAGCGCAACAGAGAAGAGACAGCCGCCUUUCGACUUCGGUCACGGCUCAGGCCACAGGCGGUGAUGGUGAAACGGUGGGGUAAGAGCCCACCGCGGGACUGGUAACAGGACCGGCAUGGCAAGCCCCACCCGGAGCAAUGCCGAAUAGGGGCCUCGCGCGGGGCAGGUCGGGUUCGCCCGAUACCGCCGCAGGGAUGCUUCAGCCCGAGAGGCCCGGGUUGGCAGCUGGACCCCCUCCGUAAGGUGGGGGCUAGAGGAAUGGUCAUCCAAGGGGGCGCAAGCCUUCUGGACAGAAUCCGGCUUAUAGGCCAUCCGCACAA
rnacentral:RNase_P_RNA from 1 species